UUGGCAAACCUGCUGAAAGGCAGGGACGCAAAACUAAGGGUCUAAAUUCUUUGAAAGGAUAUGACAGCCAGUUGC
rnacentral:ncRNA from 1 species